rnacentral:rRNA from 1 species
CCGUCGGGAAAUCCACUCGCCUAACGAGUGGGCGUCCGGCGGAAACUACAGGGCUUGGGACCGGAAGACUUGAGGGGUACGUCUGGGGUAGGAGUGAAAUCCUGUAAUCCUGGACGGACCGCCGAUAGCGAAAGCACCUCAAGACGACGGAUCCGACAGUGAGGGACGAAAGCUAGGGUCUCGAACCGGAUUAGAUACCC